GAGCCAGCAGCAUGGGGGCAUUGGACAGCCACACAGGAAUUAUCACCACAGUGAUGGGAUGGGGCUGAACUUACUUCUGAUGCUGGUACCACUGUAACUUGAGCCCUGUCAAGGAAAUGAAGUCUCCCAAUAGAUUGAAAGUCCUCCCCUGUCACAGGAGACACACCGAAGUGUGCCAAGCUUCAUUCUGAUCCCUGCCCCAUCUCCCUAACAAGUGCAGUGUCUACCAUUGCUACAGGAACAGUUGUGGGGUGUGUUCUCCAUGGUGGGCAAGUGUGCUUGUGAAUCGUUCUUCACUGCUUCCAGCCACACAGGGGUUGACCCAGCCGAAUCAUCCCACCCAGUGCAGAAGAGUCUCCUCCUGGCUGGACCACACCAGAGUUUCAGACAGACACAAAUUCUGCAGCUUCUCUUCAGCAGGCAUCUCAAUCUCAUCGCAUAUAGAUUCUGGCAUGGACCUUGCUAAUCUCACUGCCUUCAGAGUCCUGUGUGUAAUCUGCUAAGGAAUCUGGGGGAUCACAACCAGUGCGAGAUUCAUCCUGAAACAACCAGAUGGUCUAAACGCCAGGGAUGCCACUUCAGUUUAUGCUCCAGGACCAGGGACCGUGAUGGCUUAUGUUAUAGCGAGAUGCCUGCUGACAGUGCCGUGAGGGUACCACGUGCAGGAAGCGUCCCUGGGGCCACUGCGCUGAAGGCACCCCCAUGCCGAGUAAGAACUGCACAUGGAGGCUGUGCAUUCCAGGAGCUCUGUGACUUGGUUGUCUUCUCAUUAAAGUACAUUUAAUCUUGAAUAAGUACAUUUCGUUUUUGUCAAUUAAAUUUCAUUUUUAUUAGUAAUUACAUUUGACUUAAUAAUAAUUGCAUCUAAUAGUGGCCUUCCCAGAUGGCUAAAGAAUCUGCCUGCUAAACAGGAGACACGUGUUCAAUCUCUGGGUUGGAAAGAUCCCCUGGAAAAGGAAAUGACAACCCACUCCAGUAUUCUUGCCUGGAGGAUUCCAUGGGCAGAGGAGCUUGGCAGGCUACGGUCCAUGGGGCUGCAAAAGAGUAGGACCUGACUUAGGGACUAAAUAGCAGCAGCAGCAGUGUUUAAUAUUUCCAAUAACGAACCCUUCCCAGCAGCCUGGUGUCCUCUGGGGGCCAAGCAGCUUGGGUCCAUGUACUCAGUUCCCUAGACAUCAGAUGCUCCAUGUCCUGGCCGGU
ensembl:lncRNA